rnacentral:rRNA from 1 species
GACGUAGGGCGCGAGCGUUGUCCGGAUUUAUUGGGCGUAAAGAGCUCGUAGGCGGCUUGUCGCGUCACUGUGAAACCCGAUGGCUCAACCAUGUGGUCUGCAGUCGAUACGGGCAGGCUAGAGUCCGGAAGAGGAGAGUGGAAUUCCUGGUGUAGCGGUGAAAUGCGCAGAUAUCAGGAAGAACACCCGUGGCGAAGGCGGCUCUCUGGGACGGUACUGACGCUGAGACGCGAAAGCGUGGGGAGCAAACAGG